rnacentral:rRNA from 1 species
CAUGCAGGCGGCCUGUUAAGUCAGAUGUGAAAGCCCGGGGCUUAACCUCGGAAUUGCAUUUUGAAACUGGCAGGCUAGAGUCUUGUAGAGGGGGUAGAAGUUUCAGGUGUAGCGGUGAAAUGCGUAGAGAUCUGAAGGAAUACCAGUGGCGAAGGCGGCCCCCUCGGACAAAGACUGACGCUCAGAUGCGAAAGCGUGGGGAGCAAACAGGAUUAGAUACCCUGGUAG